rnacentral:tRNA from 1 species
AUAAAAAUAAGCUAAAUAAAGCUCUUUGGUUCAUACCCAAAUUAUAGAUUAUUAUAAAUCUUUUUUAUA